rnacentral:rRNA from 1 species
UACGUAGGGUGCGAGCGUUGUCCGGAAUUAUUGGGCGUAAAGAGCUUGUAGGCGGUUUGUCGCGUCUGCCGUGAAAAUUCGAGGCUCAACCUCGAACUUGCGGUGGGUACGGGCAGACUAGAGUGUGGUAGGGGAGACUGGAAUUCCUGGUGUAGCGGUGAAAUGCGCAGAUAUCAGGAGGAACACCGAUGGCGAAGACAGGUCUCUGGGCCACUACUGACGCUGAGAAGCGAAAGCAUGGGGAGCGAACAGG